CGGCAUGAAGUGGCACACCGGCGAGCCACCGGGGCGGGUGUUCAGUAUCUCGAAAGCCGGGUGCGCCGGGUUCCAGCUGGAGGUGUCGACGUGGCAGAACGCCAGCAUGGAAGCCGCCGGCCGGCCGCCGCCGCGGAGGCCGCUAAGCGAGACCACGUAGGCUCUGUACCCCAUCGUCCCUGCAAUGUGGCACUGGUAGACGGCGUACGGGAACGGCACCUUGUGGCAGGACACGUAGCGUUCGCCGUCCAGCGGGGCGACACCCUGGACCACGUACGGCUGACGUGGCAGCCCCCCGCGGGGGAGCUCCGACGUGGCCGCCCACACGCCCUGCUGGCCGCCGUCGUUGACAACGGUGCCAAGCAUGUCCAUGGCGCUACGCACGGUGCUCUCCAGGGACGUGGUGCAGGACUUGACCUCGCCCGCGACAGGCGGCUCCUGGCACCUGCUCAGGGUGUCCCUCACCUGGGUUGCCUCGGCGGAGCCCGCCGGGAUGUUGAAGGUGGCGAGGACGUCGCCUAGGUUUCCGAAGGGGACCUUCUCGGCGACGCCGUGGGGGAGGAUAGCUGUCUCUGCCUCCGCCGGGAAGGAGAGCGUCAUGGCGCUGCCAGGACGCAGCUGCGCCUCGUGGAAGAAGAUGCCGGUCUCCGCGACGGUCAGUGGAUUGCAAGCGGAGUUGAACAUUAUGCAUACACUGAUACUGGGCGGUGCAGAGUAGUGCUCCACAAGUGGCGAGUGGUCAAUGCCUUCAGGUUCAGGAAAACAAAUUAUUAGAGCAAUGAUGAUUAGGGAAAUUUUUUUCAUGUCCUUUUGUCAACACAUGG
rnacentral:lncRNA from 1 species